CAGCAGUAGGGAAUAUUGGUCAAUGGGCGAAAGCCUGAACCAGCCAUGCCGCGUGUCAGAUGAAGGUCCUCUGGAUUGUAAAUGACUUUUCUACGGGAAGAAUGAGCCGUCUGCGGACGGAAGUUGACGGUACCCGUAGGAAUAAGCACCGGCUAACUACGUGCCAGCAGCCGCGGUAAUACGUAGGGUGCAAGCGUUGUCCGGAUUUACUGGGUUUAAAGGGUACGUAGGCGGUUGUGCCAAGUCUGGGGUGAAAGUUUGCAGCUCAACUGUAAAAUUGCCUUGGAUACUGGUCGGCUAGAGUAGUGGAGCGGUGGCUGGAAUUUAUAGUGUAGCGGUGAAAUGCUUAGAUACUAUGAGGAACACCAAUUGCGAAGGCAGGUCACUGGUCACUAACUGACGCUGAGGUACGAAAGUGUGGGGAUCAAACAGGAUUAGAUACCCUGGUAG
rnacentral:rRNA from 1 species